rnacentral:lncRNA from 1 species
GGAGAGGAGGAAAGAAGAAAAGGGAGGAGGAGUGAGGAGAAAGGCGCACCUUUCUUCUUCUUUCUCUACCUUCUCCAUCUUUUCUUCUUCUUUCUCUACCUCCUCCAUCUUUUCUUCUUCUUUCUCUACCUUCUCCACCUUUUCUUCUUCUUUCUUUACCUCCUCCACCUUUUCUUCUUCUUUCUCUACCUCCUCCACCUUUUCUUCUUCUUUCUCUACCUCCUCCACCUUUUCUUCUUCUUUCUCUACCUUCUCCACCUUUUCUUCUUCUUUCUCUACCUCCUCCACCUUUUCUUCUUCUUUCUUUACCUUCUCCACCUUUUCUUCUUCUUUCUCUACCUUCUCCAUACACUGUAUAAUGCUCAUUGGUGUGUGUUUGUAGGCUUGAGGCAGAUACACUCCAUGUCACUGAUGCACCGCUUAUUCUCUGCUGUUGACAUCAUACGAUAACAAAAUGUUCAAUUCUCGUUCCAGUUUCUCCCGCAGGUGGAGUGACUCAGAAGCAAUCAAGAUGUUAGUGAAUCUGUUCUGUGCAGCAGCAGAGAGAGAACAGCAGACAGGAGAGAAGAUACUGGAGCUGUUAUCAUCAGUGUGCACAUACAAAACAUUCCCUCUCCCUCACUGGGAUUAUUAUGAUGAUGAUGAUGAUGAUGAUGAUCAGUGUAGUGUCCUGCUGGAUCUGUACUCCCGCCUGAAGGACCAUGAGACUGAAACAGGUCUGAGUGUCCUUCCAUCAUUACACUCAGUUCUCCAGUCAGCUCCUGCAGUCUGGUCCAUAGACCUCUCAGAGAGAAAGACCUCCAUCCUCCUGGAAGUAUUGAAACUCCAACCAGAGAAGAAACAAGUGGAGCUGACAGGCUGCUCAGGUGAAGAGAGUGAAGUGAGGAGUGUCCUACAGUGUCUGCCUUAUAUCUCACAGCUCAGUUUCAGGCCUCAGUCAUCAAAACCUUCAGAAGAAAUCAAGAUGUUAGUGAAUCUGUUCUGUGCAGCAGCAGAGAGAGAACAGCAGACAGGAGAGAAGAUACUGGAGCUGUUAUCAUCAGUGUGCACAUACAAAACAUUCCCUCUCCCUCACUGGGAUUAUAAUAAUGAUUAUGAUGAUGAUGAUGAUCAGUGUAGUGUCCUGCUGGAUCUGUACUCCCGCCUGAAGGACCAUGAGACUGAAACAGGUCUGAGUGUUCUUCCAUCAUUACACUCAGUUCUCCAGUCAGUUCCUGCAGUCUGGUCCAUAGACCUCUCAGAGACAAAGACCUCCAUCCUCCUGGAAGUGUUGAAACUCCAACCAGAGAAGAAACAAGUGAAGCUGAGAGGCUGCUCACAUGAAGAGAGUGAAGUGAGGAGUGUCCUACAGUGUCUGCCUUAUAUCUCACAGCUCAGUUGCGAUCCAGAGUUCUUCCAGAGAGUGUGUACAUUCCUGUCUGUCCGAUCCAGAGCGGAGGCUGAGCAGUUGUCCUCUCUGCUGCAGCUGCUGGGGUUCACCCUGCGGUUAACAGGAGACUUACCCAGGAAAACCUGCCGGUCUGUGGGGAGAGUUCUCCGAGUCUGUGGCUCUAAAGUGGAUCUCACCCUCACACCCAGAAAGAUGUCUGUCAGAGGAGCCUCCCUCCUCUUUAGACGCACAACACAUCUUCACAGUCUGAGGCUUUCCAUCGACAUGGCCUUGCUACUGUGUGGAUGGGUAAGAAGACGGAGAGUGGCCUGUCCGGUGACUAUUGAAGAGCUAUCUCUCUGCCCUCAGACAGCCCUUCCAUCACAAAGAGAGAGGAGGGUUGGCAGUAGUUUGGCCUCCCUGCUGAGAUACUGGCCAGUCAGACGGUUAGAGCUGACUGAGCUCUGUGUUCCUGCUCUGGCUCUCAUUCCACUGCUGCUUCAUGAUGGCCGUCUAAAACUCACACUGAGUGAGAAGACUUUCCAGCAGCUCCUCUCCCUCCUCUAUGAAAACCAGGAUGAGGACUUGACCUGGUGCUUCUUCAGUAAGGUUGGGGGAGACCUGACCUCCUGCAGUCUGAACUGGGAGCUUCUUCACUAUCUGCUGCAGCAGCCUUCAGCUCAGACCAUCACUGUUAACAUGAGGAAGAACCGCUUCUUACAGGAGAGCAUCACACGUCUGCUUCCCUUUCUGGAUAGGAUUGUCUUUAAAAUGCCCAGUCCCAGCUUUGUGUUGACUGCCAUCAGAGAGAUUUAUAAAGCUGGAGCCAGUCCCCUUAUACCCUGUUUACUGAGGUCAUUGGAUCAUGUGAUCAGCCUGACCUGCAAAGAGAUGGACUCGGUGCACUGUGCUGCUCUGCACUUCACCCUCACACACAGUGACAGAGUGAAGCUGAACCUCCUGUGGACCUCCAUACCAGCAGGGGAGAUAGAGUCCCUCGUCUCUAUGCUGGACAAAGUUUCUCAACUCAGUGUUGACAGGAAUCUGCUGCUGAGGUUGGUCCACUGCUGUGCUGCCUCUGACGCCCAGCAGGGGGCAGCAGUGGGUCUGCUCAGGGCUGUGCAGCACAGGCUGGACGUGUCCUGCUCCUCCUGUGUGGAGCUGUCAGAGGAGCAUCACACAGAGACUCUCAGUCUGACUGCUGAUGACUGCAGGGCCAUCUCCACCAUCCUGGGACGCAGCAGCCGGGACACACAGCUCCUCAUGCAGGACUGUGAGGUGGAGGACAGUGGACUGGACCUGCUGUUUCCUGUCCUGGACAGAGUCCGCCUCAGAGCCAGUAAAGCUGUCCUCCUCCAGCUGUUGUCCCUGGUUCCUGUGAACAGUGAGAGGGACACAGUGAGACGGGCAGUGUCCCUCUGUAGAGCCCUGGGUGGAGAGCUGGACCUCAGUCACAGCACUCUGGAUCAGCGGUCCUGUGGAGCUUUGGUCCUGAUGCUGGACUCCUCUGAAGAGCUGACAGAGCUGGACCUCAGUCACUGUCAGCUCACUGACCAGCUGCUGCUCACACUCUGCACACAGCUGCACAAAGUACAAGUCCUGGAUCUGAGUCACAACAACAUCACUGAUGCUUCAACCGACACGUUACUGCAGCUGGUCUCCCUCAACCCCUCCAUUCACACUGUGCGACUCUUCCGGAACAACAUUGUGGACAGAUCAUCCUUCAACAAAGACAAGCAGUUUGAAAUAUGGUGAAGUGUCGUCAGCGUGGCGGUAAUGUGCCGAUCGGUACUAAUACUGUGUUUGAGGUAUCCUGGGUAUAUGGAAGCCAAGAGCAGAGUGUGAUAGUAACUACCUGGAGAUCAGGACUUCUCUCUUGUUCUGGAGGUACUGUAGAUUAUUCUGUCAUGGUGCUCAUAUUCAUGAUCAUUCUCCCGACAUCACAUUGUUCUCUUGGCCUCGUGAUUCAAUUCAUUCUGGCAAAACAAACAGAAGCCAGAACCGUUUACAUUGUUGUUCUUUUGAGAACUGUAUUCUGGGACGAAUCUUUAGUUAAAGAACAAUGACUACAAUGAUUCCUCAAGUCAUGAUGUCAUAAAGAAACAUGGAGAUGACAGUGAAUCAUUUUAACGUUGUGAAUGUGCGGACAUACAAUGUAAGUGACAUUUUAAAGAGAUGCUUUUCUCUGCUCGUUCUCUUUCCCACAUUAAAAUCCUUCUUUCACUAUAAACUGCAGCUUCUGGCUGUAAGUGAAGUUCUGUGUGAAGCAGUUACCAGCUGAGACUUUGUGCCACGACUCCGACACGAGUUCAUAUAUUCUGCAAAGAAUUAUUAUUGUGAAAUGUACGACUGUAAACAUUUGAAAUGUGUUGCAUUAUAUUCAAUGCAUCAUUUUGAGUUGCAGUCAUUACAAUCAUGUUAUGGAGAAUUAAAAACACUCGUCUUUAGAAACAGAAACCUGAUUUAUAUUUGAACCAUUUCACAAACUUUUGAAACAUAUUUGAAAUGAUCAACUUUUAUUCUGGGAAACUCAGUUAUGUAAUUAAUAAACAUAACUGAGGUCAGCAAGAGCCAACCUGCACCGUGGCAGGGAAUUCAUACAAGGCUGCUCCACCCCCCUGUGAGGACAACACAAUCUUUCUCGACAACCUCAACAAUCACUUUGGACGCUUUGAGGCACUAAACAACACAACUGCAAGGAAAGCUGUCCCCAAGCAUGAUGAACAAUCACUGAUCCUCGACACAGCUGAGGUCCGGAGGACGCUGAAGAAACAGUAUUCCAGGACGGCUGCUCAGGGACUGGACCAGGCUAUUGUUCCCUCAUGUUUCAAGUCAGCAGAACUGGCCUACAGGGAGGAGGUGAAACACCUGACAGACUGGUGUCACACCAACAACCUGAUCCUGAAUGUUGACAAAACAAAAGAGAUCAUUGUUGACUUCAGGAAAAAGCAGCACUGACACACACCGCUCCUCCUCAACGGCUCAGCAGUGAAGACCAUAGACAGCACAAAGUUCUCGGGGGUGCAGCUCACAAACAGUCUGACCUGGUCCCUUCACACCUCCUCACUGGUGAAGAAGGCACAGCAGCGCCUGCACUUUCUGCACAGGUUGCAAAGAGCACAGCUCCCCCCCAUUAUAGAAGACCCCACUCGAAAUGACAAAGUUAUACUUUAUACUUUAAAAAUAUACUGGAUGAAGCUUGACCCUGUGAAAUGUGUUAUUCUACCAGGACGAAAGAAUCCUUCCCGGUGACUGAUCAGUCAUUGAUUGGGGAACAGAUGCACUCCUGAAUGUUUGUUUCCACAGGAAACUGAGCUGCUGCAGGUGGAGGUGGAUCAGAGGAGACCCUGCACAAGUCCAGAUGCACUGCUGCCCCUUGACAGGAAGGAGUCAUUGUGGAGGUGCAGGUGCAGGUGGAGGUGCAGGUGCAGGUGCAGGUGGAGGUGCAGGUGCAGUAAGUCACUGGAGCAGAGCAUCUUCUCAUAAUAAGAAUUUAUAAAUGCCAAAUUGAUUGUUGAUUAAACUUAAGUUAAAAGUUAUUUUACUGUUAAACACAAUUAUAAUGAAUAAUAUUUACUAAUCAUUAGUAAUGCUAUAAACGAUGUUAGUGGUAAUUAGUUUAUAAAUGAUGUAUUGCAUUCUGAUUACAUUAAUAAACAGUUUAUUGUUGCACACAUGACUUUAUUCACUACAAUACGUGUUGAUCAUUACCAAAUGAUUUGUAAAACAUCUUUAAACAUUACAUGAAUAGACCAGAAACAAAUGAACCAUUACAAAUAUUCACUAUCUAAA